CUGUCUCUUCCUCUUCUGUAUCAAUUUCUUCCUCUUCUGUAUCAAUUUCUUCCUCAGUAUCAUCUUCUACCACCACAUACGGACUGACAACCACAUCUUCCUCCACUUCGUCAACAUCGAGUACGUCAACGACAUCAUCAACCAACACAUCGUCAUCAUAUAGCACAACGUGGCUGGGAUUGCUAACUUGUUCUUGCAACGGGUCAUCCGUACCAUCAAAUGAUCGAGUCUUCGUUGUCAUAACGGUAUACCAGGGGGUUCU
rnacentral:lncRNA from 1 species